UACGGAGGGGGCGAGCGUUAUUCGGAAUUAUUGGGCGUAAAGGGCGCGUAGGCGGCUAGAUGUGUCAAAGGUGAAAUCCCUCGGCUCAACUGAGGAACUGCCUUUGAAACUGUCUGGCUUGAGGCCGGGAGAGGGUAGCGGAAUUCCCAGUGUAGCGGUGAAAUGCGUAGAUAUCUGGAGGAAUACCGGUGGCGAAGGCGGCAUCCUGGACCGAUAUUGACACUGAUGAGCGAAAGCUAGGGGAGCAAACGGG
rnacentral:rRNA from 1 species